rnacentral:rRNA from 1 species
CGAGGCGACGAUGCGUAGGGGUUCUGAGAGGAAGGUCCCCCACACUGGUACUGAGACACGGACCAGACUCCUACGGGAGGCAGCAGUGAGGAAUAUUGGUCAAUGGGCGCGAGCCUGAACCAGCCAAGUCGCGUGAGGGAUGGCGGUCCUACGGAUUGUAAACCUCUUUUGCCGGGGAGCAAGCGUGCGUUCGUGAACGCGCGUCGAGAGUACCCGGAGAAAAAGCAUCGGCUAACUCCGUGCCAGCAGCCGCGGUAAUACGGAGGAUGCGAGCGUUAUCCGGAUUUAUUGGGUUUAAAGGGUGCGUAGGCGGGAUGCCAAGUCAGCGGUAAAAAUGCGGUGCUCAACGCCGUCGAGCCGUUGAAACUGGCGUUCUUGAGUGGGCGAGAAGUAUGCGGAAUGCGUGGUGUAGCGGUGAAAUGCAUAGAUAUCACGCAGAACUCCGAUUGCGAAGGCAGCAUACCGGCGCCCUACUGACGCUGAGGCACGAAAGCGUGGGUAUCGAACAGGAUUAGAUACCCUGGUAGUCCACGCAGUAAACGAUGAAUGCUAACUGUCCGGUGCGAGUGAGCGCUGG